UAGAGUUUGAUCCUGGCUCAGGAUGAACGCUAGCGACAGGCUUAACACAUGCAAGUCGAGGGGCAGCGGGGGCGGAAGCUUGCUUUCGCCCGCCGGCGACCGGCGCACGGGUGAGUAACACGUAUGCAACCUGGCCGCCACAGGGGGAUAACCCGCGGAAACGCGGCCUAAUACCCCGUGACGCCACCGGAGGGCAUCCUCCGGUGGCCAAAGGAGCGAUCCGGUGGCGGAUGGGCAUGCGGCGCAUUAGCUAGACGGCGGGGUGACGGCCCACCGAGGCGACGAUGCGUAGGGGUUCUGAGAGGAAGGCCCCCCACACUGGGACUGAGACACGGCCCAGACUCCUACGGGAGGCAGCAGUGAGGAAUAUUGGUCAAUGGGCGGAAGCCUGAACCAGCCAAGUCGCGUGAGGGAUUAAGGCCCUGCGGGUCGUAAACCUCUUUUGCCGGGGAGCAGUGGUCCGGACGUGUCCGGGCCGGGAGAGUACCCGGAGAAAAAGCAUCGGCUAACUCCGUGCCAGCAGCCGCGGUAAUACGGAGGAUGCGAGCGUUAUCCGGAUUUAUUGGGUUUAAAGGGUGCGUAGGCGGGCAUUUAAGCCGGCGGUCAAAUGUCGCGGCUCAACCGUGGCACUGCAGCGCGAACUGGGGGGCUUGAGUGCCCCGGAGGGUAGGCGGAAUUCGUGGGGUAGGGGGGGAAAAGCUUGGGAUUAUCAGGAAAGAAUUCCGAUUGGGGAAGGCAGCCUACCCGUAGCCUUACUUGACCCCUGAGGCUCGAAAGUGCGGGGUAUCGAACAGGAUUAAGAUACCCUGGUUAGUCCGCACGGUAAACGAUGGAUGCCCGCCGUUGGGCUUUUAAAGUUCAGCGGCCAAGCGGAAAGCGUUAAGCAUCCCACCUGGGGAGUACGGCCGGCAACGGUGAAACUCAAAGGGAUUGACGGGGGCCCGCACAAGCGGAGGAACAUGUGGUUUAAUUCGAUGAUACGCGAGGAACCUUACCCGGGCUUGAAUUGCAGAUGACGGAUCCAGAGAUGGUGACUUCCUUCGGGACAUCUGUGAAGGUGCUGCAUGGUUGUCGUCAGCUCGUGCCGUGAGGUGUCGGCUUAAGUGCCAUAACGAGCGCAACCCCUUUCGUCAGUUGCCAUCGGGUAAUGCCGGGCACUCUGGCGACACUGCCGCCGCAAGGUGUGAGGAAGGUGGGGAUGACGUCAAAUCAGCACGGCCCUUACGUCCGGGGCUACACACGUGUUACAAUGGGGCAUACAGAGAGUUGGUCAUGCGCAAGCAUGAUCGGAUCAUGAAAGUGUCCCUCAGUUCGGACUGGGGUCUGCAACCCGACCCCACGAAGCUGGAUUCGCUAGUAAUCGCGCAUCAGCCAUGGCGCGGUGAAUACGUUCCCGGGUCUUGCACUCACCGCCCGUCAAG
rnacentral:rRNA from 1 species